AGGACAGAUCGGGCAAUCGCGGGACGUUUUCGGACGUUUCGAGGAAGGUCCGGACUCCACAGGGCAGGAUAGCGGCUAACGGCCGUCCGGAUGCAAGGGGGGGCUUUGCCCCGCCUUGUUCAUUCGAGGAAUAGGGCCACAGAGACGAGUCUGCGGCGCGGGCGCGCUCCGGCGCGCACAGGCACGGCCAUCUCCGUGCUUCGUCCUCCGGCAACGGCGGGCGGCGUGGCAGGGUGAAACGCGGCAACCUCUAUCCGGAGCAACAUCAAAUAGGCAUGCGCACGGUCUUCGGACCGGGAAGGGCGGCUCCGUUCGAGCAUGCGGGUAGAUGGCUACAGCCGUCCAGCAAUGGCCGGCGCAGAGGAAUGAUUGCCCGCCGGGGUCACCCGGCGUACAGAAUCCGGCCUAUAGAUCUGUCCUGCCU
rnacentral:RNase_P_RNA from 1 species